ACUAAAGAACCUGCCUCAUAGACUGGGACAACUAUUGGAAACGAUAGCUAAUACCGGAUAACAGCAUUAACUGCAUGGUUGAUGUUUAAAAGUUGGUUUUGCUAACACUAUGAGAUGGCUUUGCGGUGCAUUAGCUAGUUGGUGGGGUAAAGGCCUACCAAGGCGACGAUGCAUAGCCGACCUGAGAGGGUGAUCGGCCACACUGGGACUGAGACACGGCCCAG
rnacentral:rRNA from 1 species